rnacentral:rRNA from 1 species
UUAUUGAAUUGUGUCUUCAAAGACACCUACUCGAUGGGUUGUCGCUGGCUCCUUGGAGCAUGUGCACACCUGUCUUGACUUCAUUCAUCCACCUGUGCACCAUUUGUAGUCUUUGGGGGGUUGAGAAUUGGCUGACUUGUCGGGAAAGGUCUCUUUCCUGGAUGUGAGGACUGCAGUGUGAAAGCACGGCUCUCUUCUACUGGCCAUGAAACCUCCCCCUGAGGUCUAUGUAUUUAUUCAUAUACCAUGUAGUAUGUUGCAGAAUGUCUCAUAUGGGCCUUUGUUGCCUAUAAAAUCAUAUACAACUUUCAGCAACGGAUCUCUUGGCUCUCGCAUCGAUGAAGAACGCAGCGAAAUGCGAUAAGUAAUGUGAAUUGCAGAAUUCAGUGAAUCAUCGAAUCUUUGAACGCACCUUGCGCUCCUUGGUAUUCCGAGGAGCAUGCCUGUUUGAGUGUCAUUAAAUUCUCAACUCCUCCAGCUUUUGUUAGUUGGCUUGGAGCUUGGAUGUGGAGGUUUGCUGGCCCCUUCUGUUUGGGUCAGCUCCUCUGAAAUGCAUUAGCGGAACCGUUUGCGAUCCGUCACAGGUGUGAUAAUUAUCUACGCCGGUGGGUUGCUCUCUGUGUGUUCAGCUGCCAAYCGUCUCUGCUUAAGGGACAACUUCUGAAUACUUGACCUCAAAUCAGGUAGGAUUACCCGCUG